ensembl:rRNA 5S_rRNA 5S ribosomal RNA
GCUUACGGCCAAACCAACCUGGCAAUGCCCGAUCUCGUCUGAUCUCGGAAGCUAAGCAGGUUUGGGCCUGGUUAGUACAUGGAUGGGAGACUGCCUGGGAAUACCAAGGCUUUAAACU